AUUGAACGCUGGCGGAAUGCUUUACACAUGCAAGUCGAACGGCAGCACGGGGCAACCUGGUGGCGAGUGGCGAACGGGUGAGUAAUACAUCGGAACGUGCGCAGUCGUGGGGGAUAACGUAGCGAAAGUUACACUAAUACCGCAUACGAUCUAAGGAUGAAAGAGGGGGAUCGCAAGACCACGCGCGAUUGGAGCGGCCGAUGUCAGAUUAGGUAGUUGGUGGGGUAAGGGCCCACCAAGCCGACGAUCUGUAGCUGGUCGGAGAGGACGACCAGCCACACUGGGACGGAGACACGGCCCAGACUCCUACGGGAGGCAGCAGUGGGGAAUUUUGGACAAUGGGCGCAAGCCUGAUCCAGCCAUUCCGCGUGCAGGAUGAAGGCCUUCGGGUUGUAAACUGCUUUUGUACGGGGCGAAAAGGCUCUCUCUAAUACAGGGGGCUCAUGACGGUACCGUAAGAAUAAGCACCGGCUAACUACGUGCCAGCAGCCGCCGUAA
rnacentral:rRNA from 1 species